rnacentral:rRNA from 1 species
AUUGAGCCUAAAGCGUCCGUAGCCGGCCACGCAAGUCCAUCGGGAAAUCCGCACGCUCAACGUGCGGGCGUCCGGUGGAAACUGCCUGGCUUGGGACCGGAAGACUCGACGGGUACGUUCGGGGUAGGAGUGAAAUCCCGUAAUCCUGAACGGACCACCGAUGGCGAAAGCACGUCGAGAAGACGGAUCCGACGGUGAGGGACGAAAGCUAGGGUCUCGAACCGGAUUAGAUACCCGGGUAGUCCUAGCCGUAAACGAUGUCUGUUAGGUGCGACGCUGACUACGAGCCUGCGCUGUGCCGUAGGGAAGCCGUGAAGCGAGCCGCCUGGGAAGUACGUCUGCAAGGAUGAAACUUAAAGGAAUUGGCGGGGGAGCACUACAACCGGAGGAGCCUGCGGUUUAAUCGGACUCAACGCCGGACAUCUCACCAGCUCCGACAGCAGUAAUGACGGUCAGGUUGAUGACCUUACCCGACGCUGCUGAGAGGAGGUGCAUGGCCGCCGUCAGCUCGUACCGUGAGGCGUCCUGUUAAGUCAGGCAACGAGCGAGACCCGCAUCCUUACUUGCCAGCAGCACUGCGAAGUGGCUGGGGACAGUAGGGAGACCGCCGUGGCUAACACGGAGGAAGGAACGGGCAACGGUAGGUCAGUAUGCCCCGAAUGUGCCGGGCAACACGCGGGCUACAAUGGCCGUGACAAUGGGAAGCUAUCCCGAGAGGGAACGCUAAUCCCCUAAACGCGGUCGUAGUUCGGAUUGAGGGCUGAAACUCGCCCUCAUGAAGCUGGAUUCGGU